UACGUAGGUGGCAAGCGUUGUCCGGAAUUAUUGGGCGUAAAGCGCGCGCAGGUGGCUAUGUAAGUCUGAUGUUAAAGCCCGAGGCUCAACCUCGGUUCGCAUUGGAAACUGUGUAGCUUGAGUGCAGGAGAGGAAAGUGGUAUUCCACGUGUAGCGGUGAAUGCGUAGAGAUGUGGAGGAACACCAGUGGCGAAGGCGACUUCUGGCCUGUAACUGACACUGAGGCGCGAAAGCGUGGGGGAGCAA
rnacentral:rRNA from 1 species